UACUGGUUCAGCCGGUAACCCACAACCCCUCUUUCUUCUCUCUCCAGAGAGAUCUAUCCAAUUCGAAUCAUUUCCUCUGGGUUCCUCUUAUCUCUCGAAGAAACAAAAUCCGCGUUUUGAAUCUAUGGGUUUCUUCGGAAUGGAAACCUCAGGAGGAUCAAAUCGCAGGGGAAGAUUUCGAUGUUUUCGAUGCUGCUUCUUCAGAAACUGUUGUCGAUGUUUCUGUUGCUGCUACACCUUCCCUUAGAAUUUCGAUUCAGAGAGCUUCGGUUCUCAUAUGCACUUUCUGUCCCUUUCCCAAAACUGAUCUCUCCUUAGGGACCCUAGCAAGAGAUUUGGGGUUGAUCCUGGGCUCGAUUGAAGAAGCUGAUCCUGAAUUACGAUAUCAUGGAGAAGGAGAAGAAGAGGCAAGUCAAAAGGGAAGCGAUUCCAACUGAUAGCCUCUGAGAAUUUCGUAUAUUACAUGGGUCAUGGACUCAUGGAAUCAUCGAUAGGUAGAGCGAAGUGGUAAACAUUAUUUCAUAUUUGUAAUCGUCUCGGUUAUAUGUCUCUCCAUACAUAAUGAGUAGGUGCUAGAAUGUUUUAGUACAUGUUGCUUGUCUUAUUCAGAAUCCUAUGGAUCAAUUUUUGUUAUGUUGAAAGUUGAAAUGGCUAACUGGUUACCCUCUCAAUGAAUAUAUAUGUUGUUAUUAACAACUGUAGGAAUGCUCAAAUCCAUUCUAUUACUGUGAUAUUGUUAUCUCAACAACACUCAAAACUAUGAGUGGGAUUAUAUUUUACGGGAGAGGGUUGGAGCCAAUGAAGCAAAGCAUGAACCAUAGUCACUGUGAGAUAUCAGUAGCCAUUACGAUUUCGAAGAGAGAAUAAAUUUUGCCUGUCUACCCAUCACUGCAAGGGGGGUCCUCACAAAAACCAUGUUAGCUUCUCUAGCCAUCGCCAUUGCCCUGAACCAGGUGGCUUCGCCACAGUACAAAGCAUACAUGCGACAGGUCAAGAGAAAUGCUCAGAUUUCCGGCAUCCGCUUUGUUAAGCAGGAACUGCCAGUUGGGCUUAACAGGUACAUGGAUUUGACUUUUUGUUUAGAUUCUUAAUUUAGCAGUUCAGUAAGUCCAUGCACCUAAUCUAGUGUGUAUGAAUCACAAUGAUUUGUGGUGCGGUUUUGCAAUUUUCAUGCUCCUGUCAUUCUUUUUAUUCAUGAAUCAGUUUCCUGUAAACUAAAAGCUAAUGCCUUGAGGACCAGUGACUUGCUCAUUGCCUCUACUAAUUACUUAAGUGUAUCCCUUUAUGUUUCCUUCUCUCUCGAGUUUGUCGGUGGUGAACUCAGCUAACAUGAUGGCCAAAUGUUCAGUCUGGAGUCUGUUAUCAGACCCAUCUCAGCUCCUUGUAUAUAUAUCUUUCUGAACUGAAAGUCUGAAUCUUCGGCCUUCUGAUUUCAAGCAAGGAGUUUCAGAAAGUCUCCCAGAUGGGCAAAAUAUCAGACUCAACAAGAGUGCCAUAAGCAGUUCCCCUGGAGGAGUGAUGAUAGCUGAAAAUGGAAGAGUGGUAUCCUGGGGGGAUGCAAAGCAUGGAAUUCUGGUCAGUCUCUCUUUUAUAAGCCAUUUAGAUUCUCCUAUUCGUUACUUUUGAUAGUGACAUCUCUUUCUCUCUCUCUCUCUCUUUCUCUCUCUCUCUCUCUCCCCUAUAUUCUAUCUAGGUUUAUCUAUGUGUAUAUAUUGAUACAUGGUAUAUGAUGGGUAUACACCAUCAUAAAAGGAGAUGGAAUAUAAAAAAAAAUGUCAAAUACUUGAUUACCAUGUACAAUAGUGGCAUAUGAUUCUUCAAGUGGAAGAGAGGCUUUCUCUCUCUCUGUGGUGAAGCUGAUAACACUAAUGGCAGUGUCAAAGCUCGAGACCAUGCAUAACAAAAAAAAAAUGGUAGUGGAAGACAAUCAAAGGGCAAGCUUUCCCACAGGAUUUCGUUUAUUCAUGUUGUUAUUAUGAACCCCACAAAUCUCUCUAUAUACCAAAAACACGCCAAAGCAAUGCAAUGAUGAGAAAAGAUGACCGAGUAAUCAUGAAAGCAAGACCCAAAUCUCUCUAAAAUCAAAACCCCAAAUUUUUAAUCAUUUGACUGUGUCUCGCUUUAUUAACUCCAAACAGGGAGCUUAGGUUAGAUAGUAGAUGCCCUUUUGCCACUUUUCCUU